rnacentral:misc_RNA from 1 species
AGGAGGCUGAGAGAGAAAGGAUUCCGAUAUCUGUUGGCGGGUCUUCUUCUGGCAAGCCUAAUCGCCAGAAUCGAUUCAAUUUCGGUCACUGUGAACGAGAUUGAAUGCGUCUAUGAGUAUGUAUUGUACGAAGGCGAUACUGUCUCGGGGAAUUUUGUCGUUGUCGAUCAUGAUAUUUUCUGGGGCGCUGAUCAUCCCGGCAUCGAUUUCACUGUUACAUCUCCCGCAGGUAAUGUGGUACAUUCUUUGAAGGAGACAUCUGGU